rnacentral:rRNA from 1 species
UUUCCUACGGGAGGCAGCAGUGAGGAAUAUUGGUCAAUGGGCGGAAGCCUGAACCAGCCAAGUCGCGUGAGGGAAUAAGGCCCUACGGGUCGUAAACCUCUUUUGCCGGGGAGCAAGGGCCGGGACGCGUCCCGGCCCGGAGAGUACCCGGAGAAAAAGCAUCGGCUAACUCCGUGCCAGCAGCCGCGGUAAUACGGAGGGUGCGAGCGUUAAUCGGAAUUACUGGGCGUAAAGGGUGUGCAGGCGGCUGAGUAAGACAGCUGUGAA